GAAGGGCCAGUGGCUCAGCGGUAGACCAUCUGCUUUGCAUGCAAAAGGUCCCCGGUUCAAUUCUCGGCAUCUUCA
rnacentral:tRNA from 1 species